ACAGAUACCGAACCACCAGUACGGGCGGUGUAGGGACGUGCAUGAAGCGUUGCUGUGACAUUGCCACUAAGGGGCCACUUUAUCGAGGGUUGAGGCAAAGAACACACAGUUCCCACGGCUGCACCCGAUAGAUAGGAGCCCAAGCACUCGGCACAAGUGGAGCAGAUAACCAGCGGCAUUAACUGAACGCGAACGUUACUGGAACCGACGUGUAAACUCGGGCUUGGUAGCCGGCUGGAACCAGCUAGCUAAAAAAGCUGAUUAGCUUAAUAUUCCUGACAGCUCGCUGUUCCGUCCACGGAUCCACUCAACCGACCGACUCGUCGUGCGGAUAUUGACUCGAAGCAACGUGGAAGAGCUGCGUGAAUUCAGUCUCGCCUUCAACCCACGGAGCAUUAGCGGACCCCGCUAGCUAGGCUGCCACCUUCAAGGGAGCCUUAACCGUUAGCUUACGCUACAGUACGGCGCACCGGCUGUAGGAGCUAAGCCACGGAUAAGAAGCCGGCCCGGUAACCGCUGCCAUGCGACCGAACCGAUAAGCCGCUCGAACAAAGACAGUCGAAGUGGAGCAGAAUCACUGAGGGUAGAUCUGCUGGUGCCUAUUCUGAGAGGUUUCCUGAGCACCACAGCAGUCCAUGUAGCAUCUCCUCUUUUACAUUUCCAUUCCUUAGCUGUCAUAGAGGUAAAGCCGUUGCCAUGGCCACUGCAAGCCUGGAUUUAAUUCCUCGAACCAGUUCCUGAUUGGCUUAGGGCUCUGGUUUUCAACCAACAGAGGAGACUCAGAUCUCCAGGCUCCCUCUGCUGGGAGAAUAAACGCAGGAAGUAAUUCAUUCUUAAAACAUGUAUUGUUUUAAGAUGUUUUCAGAGCGUUUGCAACCAUUUCCACAGUGUGCUUUAUUUGCAUAAAACAGAUAAAAAUCCUCGAAAACGUUAUCAAAUCAUCGAUAUGAAAUUCCCACAGGGAGGAUUUAUUACACUGCUGAAACCAAUUAGCUUGUGAACCUCACUGUUUAUUUUCAUGCGGUUGCUGUAUGUAAAUAAUACUAAUGCCUGUGUAUUGGGUCAUUUUUUUCUUGUGUGGAAUUUCCCAUUAUACCCGCAGGAACAUGUGGCAGUCCAAGCUAUACUGACAGUUACAGAUGAAUAUUCACACGCACGGCCGGGCCUUGGUUUUCCUAGAAGUGCAAUCCUAAGGGAGUUGCUGCUAAUGUUCCAGCAAACUCCAAAAAUGGCUCACGUAGGGCAGCAGCUACAUUCUCAGAAAGGUGUGUGUGUGUGUGUGUGAGGGGGGUUGAAAGGCCAGAGGAAAAGCCAGGGUGACUGGGACGGAUUGAAAGAAAAUAGGUUGUCUGUGUGUGAAUGUUCGUCUACUCUGCCUGUUUUGGCAUGCAUCCUCUCCAAACAUCACCACUGCUGACAUACGGCCAGUUUUCACUUAAGUCGUUAUCAAGGGCUGUCAUGAGAAUGUUGUAGGGGGAGGAGAAUGAAAGAGAGAUUUCCCAAAGGGGGUAGUGAGUAGGCUACUGGGCCAAUUGAUCGCUGGUGAACCAAGGUGUAGGAUUAAUGUAUAAUUCUUGGAGAUAAAAAGGUUUUGACUGUUUCAACUGAGAAUCUGUGAUGGAGGAAAACACCAGAAAAGAUGCAGUAGAGCAUGUGCUUGAAUUAAAGUGUGUUAUCAAAAUGA